GAACAGUAAGAGGACCUUUUGCUUGAAUAAUUUUUAUCCACACUACAGAAAGAAUCCCAGGCUUCUUAGAGAACCCAGUGACUUUUUGCACCUUCAAUCGGUGAAAUCAUCGUGUUUUCUUCUGCCGUAUCCAUAGUUCAAACAAAGAUGAGGCAAAGCUAGACUCAUUCCUGAAGGAACCCAAGAAAUUCCUCCUUUCUCUCUCUGGAAUGAAAUGAAUUCUCUAGAUCAUCAGUUCUAACCUUCAAAAACCAAACCUGUUUGUGAGAUCUCCUUUAAAUACUACUGUAGACCCCAGUGUUUAUUCAUCAAAUUUUUGAAUAUUUGUUUUAUUUGGAA